rnacentral:rRNA from 1 species
UUCGGGGUACACGAGCGGCGAACGGGUGAGUAACACGUGAGCAACCUGCCCCUGACUCCGGGAUAAGCGGUGGAAACGCCGUCUAAUACCGGAUACGACCUGUCACCUCAUGGUGGCGGGUGGAAAGUUUUUCGGUCGGGGAUGGGCUCGCGGCCUAUCAGCUAGUUGGUGGGGUAAAGGCCUACCAAGGCGAUUACGGGUAGCCGGCCUGAGAGGGCGACCGGCCACACUGGGACUGAGACACGGCCCAGACUCCUGCGGGAGGCAGCAGUGGGGAAUAUUGCGCAAUGGGCGAAAGCCUGACGCAGCGACGCCGCGUGGGGGAUGACGGCCUUCGGGUUGUAAACCUCUUUUACCACCAACGCAGGCUCCCAGUUCUCUGGGGGUUGACGGUAGGUGGGGAAUAAGGACCGGCUAACUACGUGCCAGCAGCCGCGGUAAUACGUAGGGUCCGAGCGUUGUCCGGAAUUAUUGGGCGUAAAGAGCUCGUAGGCGGCGUGUCGCGUCUGCUGUGAAAGACCGGGGCUUAACUCCGGUUCUGCAGUGGAUACGGGCAUGCUAGAGGUAGGUAGGGGAGACUGGAAUUCCUGGUGUAGCGGUGAAAUGCGCAGAUAUCAGGAGGAACACCGGUGGCGAAGGCGGGUCUCUGGGCCUUACCUGACGCUGAGGAGCGAAAGCAUGGGGAGCGAACAGGAUUAGAUACCCUGGUAGUCCAUGCCG